rnacentral:pre_miRNA from 1 species
AUGUAAGUCAAUCUGUCAUUAAAAUGAAAUUAUUUUAAAAGAAAUGAAUCUAGAUAGUUUACCCUUGAAGUGAAGCAUCUUUU